UACGUAGGGGGCUAGCGUUGUCCGGAAUCAUUGGGCGUAAAGCGCGUGUAGGCGGCCCGAUAAGUCCGCUGUGAAAGUCCAGGGCUCAACCCUGGGAUGCCGGUGGAUACUGUCGGGCUCGAGUCCGGAAGAGGCGAGUGGAAUUCCUGGUGUAGCGGUGAAAUGCGCAGAUAUCAGGAGGAACACCAAUGGCGAAGGCAGCUCACUGGGACGGUAUUGACGCUGAGACGCGAAAGCGUGGGGAGCAAACAGG
rnacentral:rRNA from 1 species